rnacentral:misc_RNA from 1 species
AACAAGAUCAACUCUAGUUGAGAGUUGGGAGUGGCCUUAUGUAUGAAAGUAUAUUUGGCUUGAAUUUAUCGAGUUGAUGAGCUUCCCAGCGCGGCUCAAUGUGUGCUAGCGAGACAGUCGUCCCGAUCUCACAUUAUCGCUGCGUUGCAGAGUUCUGACCACAGCUCGCUAAACUUUAUAUCAAUU